AAAUUGAAGAGUUUGAUCAUGGCUCAGAUUGAACGCUGGCGGCAGGCCUAACACAUGCAAGUCGAACGGUAACAGGAAGCAGCUUGCUGUUUUGCUGACGAGUGGCGGACGGGUGAGUAAUGUCUGGGAAACUGCCUGAUGGAGGGGGAUAACUACUGGAAACGGUGGCUAAUACCGCAUAACGUCGCAAGACCAAAGAGGGGGACCUUCGGGCCUCUUGCCAUCAGAUGUGCCCAGAUGGGAUUAGCUUGUUGGUGAGGUAACGGC
rnacentral:rRNA from 1 species